UUCACGGACUUCAAAGACUAUUGUAGACAUG
rnacentral:piRNA from 1 species